rnacentral:rRNA from 1 species
UACGUAGGGUGCGAGCGUUAAUCGGAAUUACUGGGCGUAAAGUGUGCGCAGGCGGUGAUGUAAGACAGAUGUGAGAUCCCCGGGCUCAACUUGGGAACUGCAUUUGUGACUGCAUCGCUGGAGUGCGGCAGAGGGGGAUGGAAUUCCGCGUGUAGCAGUGAAAUGCGUAGAUAUGCGGAGGAACACCGAUGGCGAAGGCAAUCCCCUGGGCCUGCACUGACGCUCAUGCACGAAAGCGUGGGGAGCAAACAGG